GCAAGCAGCCGCCUCUUGCUGCUGCUGGCCCCUUUCUGGGUGAGAAAAUUGCCAACCAAAACGUCUAGCGGCUUCACCAUGCCAUUUCGUACACAGUUGUCUGAAAAGCACACAUAGCCAGUGGGGUGUACGGGGCAUCGUGCAAGCAUCGAAGUUGAAACCUCAGAUCAGUCGUGAUUACCCGCUGAACUUAAGCAUAUUACUAAGCGGAGGAAAAGAAAUUAACAAAGAUUCCCCAAGUAACGGCGAGUGAACGGGGAAAAGCCCAGCGCUGAAUCCCUCGGCUUUUAGUCGCGGGGAAAUGUAGCGUAUAGGUGCGGCUAUCCGGCG
rnacentral:rRNA from 1 species